rnacentral:rRNA from 1 species
AAAUUAUCCUCAUAAGUUAGACAAUAAGAGGUACCAUUUAUGAUUUUAAUUAUUAUGCUUUUUUUUCUCUUCUACGAAGAUUAAAGAUUAAUAAUAAUUGAUAGAUAAUUGGUGGCACAAAAUCGGAGGCCCCGACUGUUUACUAAAAACACAACACAGUGCAAUCAUUAAAGUGGUAGUAUACUGUGUGAAAUUUGCCCAAUGCCAUUAAUAUAAAAGCGGUCAUAGGAAAUUGUGACUAAUUGAAAAUCUGGUUAAUAGCGGUCUUAACCAUGAGGAUCCUAAGGUAGCAAAAUAAAUUGGCCAUUAAAUGUGGUCCAGUAUCAAUAAUGUAACGAUGGCCUCACUGUCUCUACAACUUGCUCAGUGAAAUUGAAUUACGCGUGCAGAUGCGCGUUACCUCCAGUGGGACGGGAAGACCCUAUGCAGCUUCU